CCUUGGAUGCAGCCACCACCACCACCGAUGAACCAGGGCCCCCACCCUCCUGGGCACCAUGGCCCUCCUCCAAUGGAUCAGUACCUGGGAAGUACGCCUGUGGGCUCUGGGGUCUAUCGCCUGCAUCAAGGAAAAGGUAUGAUGCCGCCACCACCUAUGGGCAUGAUGCCACCGCCGCCGCCGCCUCCCAGUGGGCAGCCCCCACCCCCUCCCUCUGGUCCUCUUCCCCCAUGGCAACAGCAGCAGCAGCAGCCUCCGCCGCCCCCUCCGCCCAGCAGCAGUAUGGCUUCCAGUACCCCCUUGCCAUGGCAGCAAAGUGAGUAGAAUAUUUUGGGCUUGUGGGGGUGGGUGGGAUGGGGAUGGGGCUGACAGAAACCAUAGAGCCUCACACAAGCAGGCAGGUGUCUUGGGAUGAGCCCUUGGGCUCUGCUGGGGUUGUAAACAGAAAGGGCCUCCUGGUCCAGGGGGUGGAGGGGCAUCUUGAAGAGGAGAGCUGAUGUUUGGUGUGGUUGUGUCUGGGGAGAGGUUCGUGGGGGCCUGGAGAGGAGCUUGCUAUUGUAGGUAGGGGGCCAGAAGUCCAGACCCUUGCAGGCUGAGUGAGCGGCUGGCUGGACUGAGCCUGGUGCAUAUGGGUCGAGUGGGAUGGUGCAUGCUUGCUCUGGCAAGGGCUGCGAUUGGGGUGAGAGACUGCAGAAGUGGGACUGGGCAGUGGGGAGACAGCAGCUGUGGCCUUGAGGUUGAAUGUGCCGUUCGGUGGUGGCGGCGGCUGGGCGGAGGGACAUCAGAGCUGUUCUUGUGUCUG
rnacentral:sRNA from 1 species